GACGAACGCUGGCGGCGUGCUUAACACAUGCAAGUCGAACGGAAAGGCCCCUUCGGGGGUACUCGAGUGGCGAACGGGUGAGUAACACGUGAGUAACCUGCCCUUGACUUCGGGAUAACUUCAGGAAACUGGGGCUAAUACCGGAUAGGAAUCCUUGCUGCAUGGUGGGGGUUGGAAAGCUUCGGCGGUUUUGGAUGGACUCGCGGCUUAUCAGCUUGUUGGUGGGGUAGUGGCUUACCAAGGCUUUGACGGGUAGCCGGCCCGAGAGGGCGACCGGCCACAUUGGGACUGAGAUACGGCCCAGACUCCUACGGGAGGCAGCAGUGGGGAAUAUUGCACAAUGGGCGGAAGCCUGAUGCAGCAACGCCGCGUGCGGGAUGACGGCCUUCGGGUUGUAAACCGCUUUCAGCAGGGGCGAAGCUUGUGGUGACGGUACCUGCAGAAGAAGCACCGGCUAACUACGUG
rnacentral:rRNA from 1 species